rnacentral:rRNA from 1 species
AUGAACCUGGCCCUCCUGACGAGGUGGCUUUGGCGCAUUGCGAAUGGCGAGGGAGGUCUGUGGCUGCAAAUCAUCCGAAACAAAUACUUACGCGGCCAACCUCUUGCCUUCUGCCUUCGAACAAGGGGCUCCCAGUUCUGGCAGUCCGUCAUCCAGUUGCUCCCGGUUCUCCGCAUCAGGACCUCCAUCACGGUUGGCUCUGGGACAGCCACCCUGUUUUGGUUCGACCGUCGGGCUAGGGACUCCCCUUUCGCUGUGUGGUUCCCGAAUCUUUUCUCCAUCGCAGUGGAGCCUAGGAUCUCCAUUGAGACGGCCCUUACUAACUUAGGGCGUCUCACGUUCCGGCGGCCAUUUGGGCCCCUGGAUAUCGCCGCCUGGCAUGAGCUCCUAGAGGCCGUCACGCUUCACGAGCCUGAUCUAACAUUGACGCAUGAUCGCUUAUCGUGGUGCCUAGAGGCCUCAAGCAAAUUCUCCACGAAGUCCCUGUACCAGGCCAUUGCCCCCACCCCAGGCCCGGUGGCCCUCGAGAUGAUCUGGGCUAUCUGUGUGCCCCUCAAGAUCAGGAUCUUCAUGUGGCAAUGGAUCCGCGGCUGGCUGCCCUCCGGCGUGGAGGUGUUAAAAAGGAAUGGCCCGGGCGACGGGAUUUGUCCCCUUUGUGGGACUGAGGAAAACUCGAAUCACAUUUUCUUCUCGUGCGUCUCCACCCAGUUCGGAGCUGCCUCCAUGAGGUAGUCAGGGGUAGUUGGUGCAACACCAACUUCCCGGACCUCUUCACCGAGGUCCAGGCAUCAACCCCGUCAGACUGCCACAUUAGGUGGCUGCUCAUUGGGGUCCUUGCUUGGACGCUCUGGACCGUGCAUAAUAAGCUUGCCAUCCAGCGUGUGCCUAUUCGACGUGCCACUGACGCAGUAUUCAAAAUGUGUGGUUAUUUGCAGCUAUGGCGGCCGCUUAGCCGUCACCAGGACCGGGACGCCAUUAGCAUCAUCAUUGCUGACCUUCGCGCGAUGGCUCUUCACUUGGCGCCGCCGCUUCCUCCUCCUCCACCCGAGACGGAUUAGCUUCAUAGUUGCGGUGUCACCGCCCUUGUUUUCCCUUCUUCAGGGCUUGUUGAGCUGUGCCCUCAGCAGAACCCUCUUGUACUCUAUGUUGUGCGAUUGUGUGUGUGUGGACCUCUGUGGUACUUUGUGGUUGUGGUGGUUUGCUUUAUUUAUAAAGCAGGGCGAAAGCCUUUUUCAGUAA